GAAACAGGUCAAAGAUUUGGAAGAGGAGGCCAAGACUUUGGGCCUAAUCAGAGCGGCCAAAGGAUAUUUUGGCAAACGAUAUCAACCUUAUGGGCCUCCUAAAAAAGGUAGUACUUAUACUUAUACAGGUGGACAACCU